GGAACGGUGUCCGAGUGGUCGAAGGAGCACGAUUGGAAAUCGUGUAUGCGGUGACGAAUCGCAUCGAGGGUUCGAAUCCCUCCUGUUCCGCCC
rnacentral:tRNA from 1 species